rnacentral:rRNA from 1 species
UACGUAGGGGGCAAGCGUUGUCCGGAUUUAUUGGGCGUAAAGAGCGUGUAGGCGGCCAGGUAGGUCAGCUGUGAAAACUCGAGGCUCAACCUCGAGACGUCGGUUGAAACCACCUGGCUAGAGUCCGGAAGAGGAGAGUGGAAUUCCUGGUGUAGCGGUGAAAUGCGCAGAUAUCAGGAGGAACACCAGUGGCGAAGGCGGCUUCCUGGACCUGAUCUGACGCUGAGGAGCGAAAGCGUGGGGAGCGAUCCGG